CGCAGAGUGACGGGGCUUUGCCCCGGUAAUGCGGCAGACCGGCCACAAGCCCGG
rnacentral:ribozyme from 1 species